UUACAAGUACCGUGAGGGAAAGUUGAAAAGCACUUUGAAAAGAGAGUGAAAGAGAACGUGAAACCGAUAGAGUGGAAGCAGAUGGAGCCGACGUAUCCAGUGCGUAUUCAGCCACUAACGCUUGGAAGGUGCUCGUUCGGGGUGCUGCAAAGUCUCCGGCGGGCAUUGUUGCUGGCGGCGAGUGGUGCACUUGCGCACAGAGUGCGCCGAAUCGGUCGGGCCUGCCGUUCGAAGCUGGGUCAAGAGGCGCAGUCCGCAAGGUCUGCAAACCUGGGCCCGGCGGGCGACGGAUGGGCCUGGCCGCGUUGCAUAAGGCCGGCCGAAUCUGGAACGAUCUUGGGGAGUUUCGGCGUCGUGGGGUGCGGCGCACGCGUUUCAUCCUGCGGCGAGGCUGCUUGUCGGACGUUCCUCGGCCGGUAUUCGGUGUGUGGUCGGUCACCCAUUUGACCCGUCUUGAAACACGGACCAAGGAGUUUAAGGUGUGCGCGAGUCAUUGAGCGGUAAACUCAAAGGCAUAAUGAAAGUGGGACACUUGGUGUCUGUGAUGCGAUCCGUGCGUGAUUCGUUGCGUGCGGAGCAGCAUCGACCCAUGACCAGAACUUGUUCUGUUGUGGAGUCUGAGCGUACGCUUUGAGACCCGAAAGAUGGUGAACUAUGCCCGAACAGGACGAAGUCAGAGGAAACUCCUGAUGGAAGUCCGAAGCGGUUCUGACCGUGCGAAAUCGAUUCCGGUUCA
rnacentral:rRNA from 1 species